AAAACACCAUUGAUCCAAGGGCAUAAUAAGAAUAUACUGUACAGUAAACCUUAGUCAUUCACGGGGUAUAUAGACCAAACCUUGCAGAAUCGCAAAAAAACUGAGUAAUAGGCACCCCUAUUUUAGGACGUUAAUUUCAAACUAUAAAUAUACCAAAAACUGUGAUCCCAGAACGCUUGUUUUUUAUUUAAAAGGCAUCAUUUUACAUUACCCUUGAAAACAAACGGCUUACAGAUGAUUGAAUAAAAUGGAACAGAUGCACACGCAUACACACGUGGCGAAAACUCUCCAGAACUCCCACUAACAACACAUGCUAAACACCUCGGCAAAACCUAAAAAUGUUGGUCUUUUAGGUGAGACGUGAACCUCUGCAUACUUUCUUCCUCAGCAAACUCACUACUUUCCUAUUUGCCAGGAUGCCAUUUUGAGGCAUCAGAGUUUAUCAGCAAAAAGUGGAGGAUGUGCCACAGAAAAGACGAAUAAGGAUUGGUGAAUAGGCGAGGGUUCACUGUACUGUAUUAUCUAAAUGUAUAAACAACCUAUCCUGGAUGGUCUUGGCAUCAUCGAUGGCUCCAAAUGCGAUUAUCAAUAAUGACGACCCGUAAAAUUCAGGAUGCAGCGCCCACACAGCUGUUCUCCCCUGAGCUGGCGUACAUAAAACAUAAAAGGUCAGCUGUCCCUCCCUGCUUCGAUCCCUCGGGUGCGAGGAGCGGGGGGAUCCAGGCGGAUAGCAUCAACACCGGCUCCUGUGUGCGCUUGAUCUCCUAAUUCUGCUUCAUUUAAACUUCAUCAACUCUUCCACUGGACCGGAAGCAGAGAAGAAUGAGAACAGCUUGGCUGGAAACAGCUUUUUCUCCCCUGCUCCUCUUUUGUUGUGUGUGAUCUGAUAUGAUACCCAAAAGCAGCUGGAGUUACAGACCCCAUCCAUCACGCACACACACACACACGCAUUUGCAGAACAGCCAAAUGCACACAAAUUUAGAGACAGAGUUUAAUCAUUUAGUUUUAAUAAUUCUAAUGGCGGCUUGAGAGAAACUCUUAAGGGUUUAUUAUAGUAACAGCAGAAAAAAUAAAUUGUACUGGUUCAUUUCAGCACAUAUUAGGCAACAUAAGUUUUGAUUACCGUAUUUUCCGCACUAUAAGACGCACCGCAUUAUAAGACGCACCUUCAGCAAAUGGCCUAUUUUAAGACUUUUUUCAUAUAUAAGGCACACCGCAUUAAAAGGCGCAUAGAAUAGACGCUACAGUAAAGGCUGGGGUUAUGUUAUGCAUCCAUUAGAUGGAGUUGCACUAAAGGCUCAAUACUGAUCCAUAUAUAAGGCGCGCCGGAUUAUAAUGUCGGCUUUUGAGAAAAUUGCGGUUUACAGUGCUGAAAAUACUGUAACUGUCAAAGAGUAUCAAUGCAACAAUAUUUCUAUGACCGUGCAUAUUGCAGUGGAACUGUAACCCCUCAUACUGAAACAUUUCUGAAAUGAUGCCACGCUUAGUGAUCUGGAAAUUGCAUCCCCAAUAAUUAACAUUAGAAUUAAUUAAAUCGGAUUUACGGUGUAAGACAUGAGUUGAGAAAUUACAGUUUUCUACUUUUGACAGCAUAAUUUUAUUGAUACUUGCCUGUUAAUUUUUUUAAUAUGAUCAUUCUUGUUAAAAAAAUAGUUUCAAUGAUUUGAUUAUU